UUUGGAAGAGUCACCAAGCACAACAAAUACGUGCCGGUUCCUCCACCUUAGAAAAAUCCAAACACCAAACAAGCCUUGUGCUACCCGUUUGAUCAAGAUCAAGUCUCUACGACCCUUGCAUCAAAUACAAAUUUUCUUUAUACACUUUGGAGAUCGAAUCAGAAGAUUCAAUACAGAGAUUGUAACCCUAAAUUUCAUUAAUACAAAUAUUAUUUUGUACACGUGUUCUUGUCUCAUUUGUCGCAGGAAAUUCGUGUUUACAAAUUUGGCACGCCCGGUGGGAUUAUCUCUGCCUCUCAUCUCUUUCUCCAGUUUCAAAAUCAAUCAACACACCAAAAAAAUGAUGGCUUCCAAGAAGAUUCAAUCCGUUCCCGCGACGAGAGGCAAAAGCGUGAGCGCCUCCUUCUCAAGCGGAGAUUCUGCUGGGGUCGUCACCCGGAGCAAGGCCAAGGAGAUAUCCGUAACUCAACAUGUUACUUCCAUACCGACUCAAGCCAAGGCGAAAGAUGUUCACCGAAGGCGCGAACCGGUUAUCAACUUGGCCUCAUUGGGGCAAAAGAAGAAUACUUCUCGGGCGGAUGAGAGAAACUCUCGGAGUGAAGGGAGGAGUUUUUCGGGUUCGAAGAAUUCCAGAGAACGCUCACUCUCACCUGUUUCAGACGCUGAUUCGAGCACAUGCUCGUACCAUGGAUCCCCGCCUGACGAUCAACAGAAGAAGCUUACCUCGGCAUCCGUAGGUGAGUCUUAUUCUAUGGCUAUGCAGGUCAUGGUGACGGGAGCUAUGUCUAUUGAAGAGCAGCUGGCCCAUAUGAGCGAAGCGGUCACCAAAUUGACUAAGAUGGUCGAGGAGAAGGAUGCGCAGAUUGCUUCUCUCAUCAACAACAAGUGGGAAGGGCAUCAGGAUAAGGAGCCUGGUCAAGACGCGCACAAGAAAGGACCACAUCAUGAGGCUGAAUCCAGCGAGAAAAGAUUGGGUCAUGAAACAGAGUCGGGUGAGAAGCCGCACGGAAAAGGUGACGCCGCCUCGGUGGGUUCUUUGUCAGUCCAACAACUUCAGGACAUGAUCACAAACACCAUCAGGGUUCAAUACGGAGCACCUUCCCGAGACACGCUCAUGUAUUCUAAGCCAUACACCAGGAGGAUAGACAACUUGCGGAUGCCAACGGGAUAUCAACCUCCCAAAUUCCAACAGUUCGAUGGAAAGGGCAACCCAAAACAACAUGUUGCACACUUCGUCGAAACAUGCAAUAAUGCCGGGACAGAGGGCGACCACCUGGUGAAACAAUUUGUUCGUUCCUUGAAAGGAAAUGCAUUUGAUUGGUAUAUAGACUUGGAGUCCGAUUCCCUUGACAGUUGGGAUCAGAUGGAGCGAGAAUUCUUGAACAGAUUCUAUAGCACUCGUCGCACUGUGAGUAUGAUGGAACUCACAAAUACCAAGCAAUGGAAAGAUGAACCUGUCGUCGAUUACAUCAAUCGAUGGCGCUCGUUAAGCCUGGAUUGCAAAGAUAGGCUUUUGGAGUUAUCAGCCGUUGAGAUGUGCAUUCAAGGAAUGCAUUGGGGGUUACUUUACAUUCUACAAGGAAUUAAACCCCGCACGUUUGAGGAGCUAGCCACUCGUGCCCAUGAUAUGGAGUUAAGUAUAGCUAGUCACGGAGGAAAGCAUGAGCCCGUUAUGGAGCAAAGAAAGGAGAAAGUCUUUGGACAAAAGACAGAUAAACCUGUCAAGAAGCCUACCAAAGAAGCAAUGACAAUAAACACCGUCCCCGUCAAAAUCUCCACCCGAGACAAGAAGAAAGAAGUCAGAAGGAUGGAGCCAUCUCGAGAAGUGGAUAGACGUCGACGCACUUUGAAGGAGUUAGAGGAAAAAACGUACCCCUUUCCUGACUCCGAUGUCGCAGGUAUGCUUGAGGACUUGCUCGAAAAGAAGGUGAUCGAAUUGCCGGAAUGUAAGCGGCCUGAAGAGAUGAACCGAGUCAAUGACCCUAAGUUUUGCAAAUACCACCGAAUUGUCAGCCAUCCGGUAGAGAAGUGCUUCGUGUUGAAGGAGCUAAUUAUGAACUUGGCUAGGCAAGGAAGGAUUGAGUUGGAUGUUGACGAAAUCGCAGAUGCCAACGUUGCCACAAUUGUGUUUGGAUCCUUCGAUCCGAUGCCGCUGCCCGCAUUAUCAAAAAGAUUGGAAUUCCAAUCAACAAGGGGCAUACACCAGGUGACUGAUCCGUGCACAGAAGAAGUGGCGGGCAAACCGAACAAUCAAGGUGGUGAUGGCUUCGUUGGUGAUUCAUCUUUCGAUGACAAUGAAGGAUGGACGCUCGUUACCCGGCGGAAACCUCGUACGAAGCGCAUUCCUCAACGACAAAAUACUCAAUCAAAGAGGGAGCGGCGAAAAAGGAGUUCGCACAAACGCUCUAAAACCAAAACCAGAAUAAUGGUGAAGAGAGAUUCUGGCCGAGAAAGUGGACCACUAAUCCAAGAGCCACGAAUUCCAAUUACGCUAGAAGAAUACUUUCCCAAAAUGUUCUUCGUAAGAAGACCAAUUGAGACUGUUUAUAUGACAACUUGCUAUCAAGUAGAUGACGAAGAUGUCUCGGAAGGAAGAUCGGAAACUCAUGAAGAGCAAAAGGCCCUGACACAGAUAGAAGAUUCACCAUCGCACCUCAAUGUUGAGGAAAUGGUGGAACUUCCUGAAGCAAUACGCAUAGCAUUGGUAAAGACGUUGAUGGAUCUCAAUAUUCAUCCGAAUCAAAUAAGAGAGGCCAAAAAAUUAGAGCUUGAGUCUCAAGACCGUGCUAUUUGUUGUGCGACAUGUGCUUCCAUCACAUUCACCGAUGAAGAUCUUUUGUUAGGGUCCAAACCACACAACCGUCCGCUUUUCGUGUCCGGAUAUGUGCGAGAACAGAAACUCAGUCGCAUGCUCGUGGAUGGAGGUUCAGCAGUAAACAUAAUGCCUAAAUCCACAAUGAUAAAGUUAGGUAUCACAGUGGACGAAUUGUCUCGAAGUCGUCUCAUGAUUCAAGGUUUUAACCAAGGAGGGCAAAGAGCCAUGGGCAUGAUCAGAAUUGAGCUCGUGAUAGGUGACCUAAAGUCAAACACCCUAUUUCACGUGAUUGAUGCUAAGACUUCCUACAAUCUUCUCUUAGGAAGGCCGUGGGUACAUGAAAAUGGGAUAGUACCUUCAACUUUACAUCAAUGUGUCAAGCCAUUUACUGAAGCCGAAUCCUAUUUCGCCGACGCCAAGUUCUACAUCGAUGAAGACAUGGCAUCUGAAGUUAUUCCCGUUGAGGUUCACUCAACUGGCCAGGCCAUACCAAGAAAAGAUGAGCAGUCAAAGUGCCUUUUCGCUGAAGAAAAUAGCUAUAACAAGCCAAAAAGCACUACCUUCGGACAAAUGGGAUCACCACCGAUAGAUUCACGGAAGGUAUCUAGUCCUGUUCUUCGUUAUGUCUCAUCAUCCCGAAGGAAGGAAGGUCAAUCCCCAUUUGGAGAAGAAGUGAAACCAAGGAAGUUAGGGAAAAGUGACAUGAAGUACUUGAAGGAGUCUACAACCAUGCCUUUACCCAAGUUGAGCAAUUUAGAUGUGUUGAAAUCUUCAGUACCAGGGUUCGUCAGACCAUUACAAGAUGCAACAAGACGUGAAUAUCUUCCGGUCAAAAGAACUAAAGAAGGUUUUGAUCCUAAUGCUUAUAAGCUCAUGUCAAAAGCAGGUUAUGACUUCGGCUUGUCUUCCUCGCUGGGAGAGCUCAAUCCAGAUGUCACAGGAGAAAGGACACAUGGCCUUAGCGAAACCCAAAAGAAGUUGAAGGAGCAGGGUUACACAAUCGACUCAGCUAGAACAGGCCUAGGUUUUACUCCUGUCGCACCUGUUAAGAUCUCUGCUAGAAGAAAAGAAAAGAAGGCAGAAGCUCAACACAUUAGUGUCGAAGUGGUUGAGGAGGAAGAAGACCCAAAGGCUAUUAAGAGAGCUUCAGUGUUCGACCGUUUAGCCAAGCCUACUCAGCGGACCUCAGUUUUUGACCGCAUCAAAGAAUCGACACCACGACCUUCUGUGUUCAAGAGGAUAUCUGGACAUAAGAAUCAAAGGGGAAUUCAAUCAGCUCCGCGCAGAUCAGCACUAGAAAGACUCGGAGUUCCAAGCCAACCGUCUGAAGAGAAAAGCAAGCGAGAGUUGGAAAGUGGAGUUCUUGUUGAUUCGACGGAAGAUAAUGAAAUCCGAAGCCUGAUCCCGUCACAUAUGAAACGUCUCUCAACACUAGACGUAACUUCAGGUGACCAACUCAAAGUGAAACGACGAACAAUCAUACAAACUCGGAAAGCUUUGAGUCAACAAAAUGAAAGUGAUGAUGAAGAAGUAGAGAUUCUAACUGUUCAUCACGUUACGAUUAAAGAGCUCGAUGAAGAGGAACCUUUCGAGGAUGAGGUUCAUAACGCUCCUGCUGCAUUAGAAGAUGGGGGCCAAGCGACUGUUGAUGAAUUAAAAGAGCUCAACUUGGGCACAAAUGAAGACCCAAGACCUAUCUUCGUUAGUGCACUUUUGAAUCGUAGCGAAGAGGAAUCAUAUCAUCAGCUGUUGCUUGAGUAUAAAGAUGUCUUUGCUUGGACGUAUAAAGAGAUGCCAGGCCUCGAUCCGAAAGUUGUGGUUCACCACCUUGCAGUCAAACCUGGAGCGCGUCCAAUCAAACAAACUCAACGUCGCUUCCGUCCGGAGCUCUUAAGUCAAAUCGAAGCCGAAGUUGACAAGUUGAUCGCUGCCGGAUUUAUUAGGGAGGUGAAAUACCCGACGUGGAUAGCGAACAUUGUUCCGGUGAAGAAGAAAAUCACGGGACAAAUUCGUAUUUGUGUUGACUUCCGAGACUUAAACGAGGCUUGCCCGAAGGAUGACUUUCCAUUGCCCAUAAUUGAGCUCAUGGUCGAUGCAACCACAGGUCAUGAAGCCUUAUCUUUCAUGGAUGGCUCAUCUGGAUACAAUCAAAUAAGAAUGUCGCCAGAGGACGAAGAACUCACGGCCUUCCGCACUCCAAAAGGAAUUUACUGUUACAAGGUGAUGCCAUUUGGCCUCAAAAAUGCAGGUGCGACCUAUCAACGUGCAAUGCAAAAGAUCUUUGGUGACAUGUUUCACAAGAAUGUCGAGUGCUACGUUGAUGACUUGGUGAUCAAGUCAAAAAGAAGGGAAGAUCACUUGAAAGAUUUGAGAACGGUGUUUAACAGAUUGCGGAAGUACCAACUCAAGAUGAACCCUUUGAAGUGUGCUUUCGGCGUCACGUUAGGCAAAUUCCUUGGUUUCAUCGUUAAACAUCGAGGCAUCGAAGUAGAUCAGACUAAGAUUAAAGCCAUCCGAGAUAUGCCCGAGCCAAGAAAUUUACGUGAGUUGAAAAGUUUACAAGGACGCCUCGCGUUUAUUCGACGAUUCAUCUCAAACUUAGCAGGGAGGUGUCAACCAUUCAGUCGCCUUAUGAAAAAGGAUGUUCCAUUUGUUUGGGAUGAAGCUUGUCACAAUGCCUUUGAAAGCAUAAAGAAGUACCUAUCGAGUUCACCACUGUUAGGAGCUCCUAUUCCAGGCAAACAACUCAAAUUGUACAUUGCGGCUCAAGAAAGGUCAAUUGGAGCCCUUUUAGCGCAAGAGAAUGAGUCACAUAAAGAGCAAGCACUCUACUAUCUAAGCCGAACGCUUACUGGUCCCGAACUAAACUACACGCCUAUAGAAAAGACGUGUCUUGCACUUGUUUUUGCUAUCCAAAAGUUAAGGCACUACAUGCAAGCAUUCACAGUCCAUCUAAUUGCACGAGCUGACCCGGUGAGGUACGUUAUGUCAAAACCAGUCUUGACAGGGCGUUUGGCCAAGUGGGCGUUACUUCUCAAUCAGUAUGAAAUCAUCUACACCCCAGCAAAGGCGGUUAAGGGGCAAGCUGUUGCAGACUUCCUAGCCGAUCAUCCAAUUCCAGCAGACUGGGAAAUUUCAGAUGACUUACCCGACGAACAAGUCUUCUUCGCUGACGUUUCUUCUGCUUGGAUGAUGUUCUUUGAUGGAUCGGCUCAUAAAGACGGGGCGGGGGCUGGCGUAGUCUUUGUAUCACCCGAGAGACACGUAUUGCCCUAUUCAUUCUUCUUAAGUGAACUUUGCUCGAACAACGUUGCAGAAUACCAAGCUUUGAUCAUGGGCUUACAAAUGGCCGUGGAGAUGAAGAUAUCAAGCUUAGAAGUAUAUGGCGACUCCAUGUUAGUGAUCAACCAACUGCUGACUCACUACGAAGUUAGAAAGGAUGAUCUAAUUCCAUACCACCAAUUAGCCACGCAAUUACUAGAAAGAUUUGACUUCGUGACGCUGGAGCAUGUGCCAAGAAAAGAUAAUCAAAUGGCAGAUGCUUUAGCCAACCUUGCCGCUACAUUGGCAUUGACAAAAGAGGAAGCAAUAAAUCUUCCAGUUUGCCAACGUUGGGUCGUUCCAUUAACGCUUGGGACAUCGCAAGAAGGAGUCAACGUUAUCUCGGUACUUUCCAUUGACGUUGAUGACUGGAGACAACCUUUAAUUGAUUAUCUUGAGCAUGGGAAACUGCCAGAUGAUCCAAGACAUCGAUCAGAGGUACGACGUCGGGCACCUCGAUUCAUUUAUUACAAAGAAAUUCUCUACCGUCGUUCAUUUGAAGGCGUAUUUCUAAGAUGCUUGGACGAAGAAGAUGCAUUCAAAGCAAUGGAGGAGGCUCACUCAGGAAUUUGUGGAGCACAUCAAUCAGGGCCAAAGUUACAUUUCCAAAUAAAACGGAUGGGCUACUAUUGGCCGACUAUGGUCAAGGAUUGCAUGGAUUAUGUGAAGAAAUACCAAGCAUGUCAAUUCCAUGCCAACUUUAUCCAUCAACCGCCGGAGCCGCUACAUCCUACAAUUACUUCAUGGCCAUUUGAUGCGUGGGGUCUUGAUGUGGUGGGACCAAUAGCACCUAAAUCUUCCGACGGUCAUUCUUACAUCCUUGCAGCCACAGACUACUUCUCAAAAUGGGCGGAAGCUGUGCCUCUAAAGGAAGUGAAGAAAGAAAAUGUAGUGAGCUUUAUCAAGGUAAACAUCAUUAAUCGGUAUGGUGUGCCACGCUACAUCAUCACAGAUAAUGGCAAGCCAUUCUCGAAUCGGUUGAUGGAUAAAUUGUGUGAAGACUUUGGUUUCAAACAACGCAACUCUUCAAUGUACAAUGCACCAGCCAACGGUCUUGCGGAAGCGUUCAACAAAACUCUUUGCAGCCUGUUGAAGAAAGUUGUUGGAAGAACCAAGAAAGAUUGGCAUGAAAGGAUAAAUGAAGCUUUGUGGGCUUAUAGGACGACAUACCGGACGCCUACUCAGGCUACACCGUACUCACUCGUGUAUGGCGUGGAAGCAGUUUUGCCUCUAGAAAGCCAACUUCCAUCAUUGAGGAUGGCCAUACAAGAGGGAUUGACUGAUGAAGAGAAUGCGAAGCUACGUCUCCAAGAGUUAGAAGCACUAGACGAAAAGAGACUCGAAGCGCAACAACGCUUAGAGUGUUAUUAAGCCCAGCUUUCGAAUGCUUUUAACAAGAAGGUACGCCCCAGAUCUUUUCAGGUGGGAGAUCUCGUCCUCGCAUUACGUAGACCUAUCAUCACAACACACAAAAUCGGAAGCAAGUUUACUUCGAAAUGGGAUGGGCCCUACGUAGUACAAGAAGUAUACACAAGUGGCGCUUACAAGAUUAUAGCGGAGGAUGGUUUAAGAAUUGGCCCUAUCAACGGAAAAUUCUUGAAACGAUACUAUGCAUGAAAUGACUGCCAGCUCCUGGCCCGCAUGAGCCUAAACUGCGUACGGCACCCAAAAAAAAAAAGGCUCGUUAGAUUGAAAACCCGAAAGGGCAGUCUAAGCAAAAAAAAUUAGAGCGCAAGAAAGUCCGUUGAACUGAAAACCCGAAAGGGCGGUUCAAGCAAAAGUUAGGACACAAAAAAAAAAAAUUCUUUGAACUACGUGAUGACUUGAUCCCUUUUCAUCGAGGGUACGUAGGCAGCUUGGACAAAUAAUUCCAAGUUCAGUCACAUCAAAAUAAAGACAAAGGGUUUCCCACGUCAACCCGAACCAUUGAAAAAAAAAAGAAUGAAAUGAGAAAAUGCUUUUAUUUCAUCAUGAAAGUUAUUUAGUAAACAUCAACACUUUGACAAGUUCAAAAAAAAAAUAUAAUAAAACAAAGAAAGUUUACAACAGCAGAAUUUGCUAGUCCCAAGACAAAUCCUUGAAGCCGUUACGCAGUCUCUCAAAGGAAACUCGUGAUGUAUCUAAAGUCUCGGCAUCUGCAGCUGAUAGUACAGGAGCUUCUUCAACCGCGGUCUUAUCCUCUCUCAAGCGGGUGACUUCACCAUGAUGAUAAGAAAGUUGUGCAUCACUCUCUGAAAGUGAUCCGUUUAGUUGGCGCAAUCUUAACUCCAAUUGUUCUUGUUCCCUCUUCAACUCCUCCAUACGCGUAUUGGCAGAUUGAAUAGACUUAAGUAUAGAAGACUGAUGAACUUCUUCAGCUUGUUGCAGAGCCAAGGCAAUAGAAAGUGAAGAGUCCACUGCGGCUAAACGAUCGCUUUGAGCCUCGGGAGAUAGCUUUUGGGAGUAAGUAGAGUGUGCAGAAUGAUAGUCAACUGCAGUCACCAUAAGCGCAUCGAUCAUAGCUCGUAAAGAUGAGACGUUCGCCCCCACAUUGUCAAGAGUAGUCAUCAACUUGCCAAGCUCAUCUUUGAAUGAGGGAAGCCUUUCCAAUGAAGCCUUCAAGAUUAUGCUUUUUACUUGGUUUCCUAAAACGGAGAUUACUUUGCGAAGGGUUUUGUCUGCAACACCUAAUUUGGGCUCCCCACAUGACAUUUCAGAAGUGGACGCAUAAUUAGCCGGCUUUAAUAAAUGUUGUUGUGCAAGUGAACCUACAUUGACCAACGAGUAAUGGUUAAGCAAGUAGAAUCAAAGAUUUCUAAAUACGGAGGGUGAUAAAGAUUGGCAUUGUACCUCUUAGGCUAACACCUGAAGCACUUAUCGGGCGCAACGCAUCAUCUUCCUCUUCAAUAGGCAAAUGAUUAAAUGGCACAAGCUCAGACACAGUGGGGACAUGAUGCACUACUUUUCCCUAAAAUAUAUAUAUAUAAUUAAUUAAUAUAUGUAUGUAUAGAAAAGGGGAAGCUCAAGGCGAAAUAAAAUGCAUACCUCAUUCAUUAGAACCGGUUGUGAAACAGUGGGCACAUCACCAAAAAACCCGUCAUCAAGUGGGUAUGCCGCGUCCAAAUCACAAUAGAGAGGUUCGACACUUGUCUUCUUAUGCCUAAAGUUGACUUCACUGUCUUCAUUGCUACUUAUAUGCCCUCGCUUCAAAUUGCGGAUUCGUCGACUGAGUGGAAUGAAAUCUUCCUGAGAAUCUGCUACGCUUUCUGUUUCUCCUUUAUCAUUAGGGACUCGAGUUGGAGGAACAUCAACUAGAGGUGGGUGUUGAACUCGAGGUGCGGGAGUAGUAGAACUACCUUCAACUUCUGGAUGAACUCGGAGCGCUCUACCACGGGCGAGUUUAUCAUGAACUAAAACUUCAUUGCCAUGAGACUUAAGAGAUUUCGGCUGAGAAAGUGACGACGAUUUGCCUGCAGUUGAGAUUGUCUUUGAUUUCGACGAUUCAAAGCGAUGCACCUUCGACCACCAAAUAACAUAAUCAGAUGUAAUCUCAAACUCCCGAAUAUUGUCUUUAGUGGGUAGGGUUAUUGUAGAUGCACUGCCAAUCUUCAAACAUGAUUUCCAAUGUGAGUACACUGAUAGCACAGUCCCAUUCCGGACGUCAUCUUUAAGUUCUCCUGGCACAUGUUGUACAUAACAAAAUUGUCUACUGAACCUAUGCGGGCUAUAAGGUUGGAUGACUCGAUAGUUUUCCUGUCGUAGAGAAAUGAAUCCCGAACGAAGACAUAUCAAAUACUCAAAGUCUUCUUUAGAAAUAUGAUCUUCAUUAGUCAGUUGUUUGCACUCUGAAAACACUUUUGCUAGACGACUCAUUUUCACUUUACCACAAGUCCGGAACAAAGCUCGAGCUGUCGAAUCUUCAAAAAAUUUCGCCGAAAGUCUUCCUGAGAACCUUGCCAUGAUGGGAAUGGACCUCUCGGAAGAUGAUGUAAAAUGUGUGUCGAAGUAUUCACCCAACCAUCCAUACACAUAAUGGAAAGGUAGAACAGUUGUGCAAUUUCCUGGAUCAUCUGCACUAGAAAUAUCAUUCAGCCCCUUGUAAAUACUGGCCAAUACUGGAACUGCUAAGCUAAAUGAUACACCGUGCGCCAUUCGACUGGCAACUUUGAAAACCCCUGGUCUAAUCAAAGUUAUGUCAUCUUUGGGAAAUACAAAUUUGCACAACCAGCAAGCAAGGAAUGCAGCCAAAUAGGAUCUAUCCAUGUCUUCAUCAGCUAUACCCAAAUCUUCAAAAACCCCUUCCUCUUCCUCAGUACGUUUCAAUACCGCCGCAAUGAUACCAGACGGAUCCAAGUCUUCCUUUGGCUUUUGUGACUUGUUCCGUACAGUUUUCCUUGAAGACUUUUUAUACCUGAAUGGCCCUCGAUACCAGUACUUUAUCCAAGCAGUUAUUCUCACUCCAGAUUUUCCUUUGGAGUCCUGUAAAAUUUUGUGGUACGCUAAGAACAAGUAACGACAAAUAUGUGGGACAUAAGGCACGCCUUUAUGGUCCUUCCUAUUGAGACUCUCAGUGUUUGGAAUAACUUCAUCAUAAAAUCGACCUGUAAUAGGGAGACCGCCGAUUUCAUGAAGAUCCCAAAGGGAAAUAGACAUUUCUCCUUGCGAUGUAUGAAGAGUAUUUGUCGCAGGACACCAGUACUCGCAGAAGGCUCGAAUGACUGGAGCGUGUCGAUCAUAGCUAAAUAACGAGGCAAACACUGCAUUAUAUAGACCGACGCUCUUAAGAACCUGGGUAUUUCUACUUAGCACAUCUUCAAGCCAUUCCCAGUAAUACUCGGUAUAUGUAGAUUCACCAGCCGACGGAAGAACAGAACCCCAAUUCACUGCCCCAUUAUGGAUUCGAUCGCUAAGAAGUUCGAACGCCCCUAAUGAAUCAGUCUCUGUAUGAUGCGAUGACUUUAACUGUAAAACAGUGGAGUGAAGAUCCCUAUCUGUAGAUUUGGAUUUUUUGAAGCUGCUAAGUUGACAAAACACCUCUUGGGACCAAGCCGGAAUAUGAAGAUAAUUGUCCACCUCAGAUAUCUCCGAAGCUAGGAGAGGCGCACCUACAAGCAAUGUGGUACCUUCGUCCCGGCUAUCACUUUCAUCCUCAAGAAUAGUAACGGUGCCUUUCUUAAAACACUUGAAGAAGGCCAUCUAUAUAAGAUGAGAGACAUGAAACAAUAUUCAGUAUCGAGCUGGUGACUUCAUACCAAAAAAAAAAAAAAAGAAAAAAAAAAGAGAGCUUACUUGUACAAGUUUGCAGAGCCGGGCAAAGGUGGAAUGUCUCGAGAAACAAUCUUCACUUGUCCUCCACUUACGUAAAGCCUAAGCGCUUGAACGGGUUAUCACCAAGUCGGAGAGAUGGAUCAAACCCAAGCGGUAUAGGACGUCUACGUUCUUCAGUCGUCCUCCACUUACGUAAAGCCUAAGCGCUUGAGCGGGUUAUCACCAAGUCGGAGAGAUGGAUCAAACCCAAGCGGUAUAGGACGUCUACGUUCUUCAGUCGUCCUCCACUUACGUAAAGCCUAAGCGCUUGAGCGGGUUAUCACCAAGUCGGAGAGAUGGAUCAAACCCAAGCGGUAUAGGACGUCUACGUUCUUCACUUGUCCUCCACUUACGUAAAGCCUAAGCGCUUGAGCGGGUUAUCACCAAGUCGGAGAGAUGGAUCAAACCCAAGCGGUAUAGGACGUCUACGUUCUUCACUUGUCCUCCACUUACGUAAAGCCUAAGCGCUUGAGCGGGUUAUCACCAAGUCGGAGAGAUGGAUCAAACCCAAGCGGUAUAGGACGUCUACGUUCUUCACUCGUCCUCCACUUACGUAAAGCCUAAGCGCUUGAGCGGGUUAUCACCAAGUCGGAGAGAUGGAUCAAACCCAAGCGGUAUAGGACGUCUACGUUCUUCACUCGUCCUCCACUUACGUAAAGCCUAUGCGCGUGAGCAGGUUAUCACCAAAUUGGAGAGAUGGAUCAAACCCAAGCGGUAUAGGACGUCCACGUUCUUCACUUUCUUUCCAAGUACCUAUUAUAAAAAUAAAAAAUAAUUAUAAAAAAAAAAACUGAAAAAGUGAUAGAGGUGCUGCGAAAAAAAAAAGAAAAAAGAAAGAAAAAUUGAAAAAGGGAUAGAUGUGCUGCGGAAAAAAAAAAAAAAAAAAAGAAAAAAGAGAAGAAGAGGAAGAAGAAGAAUGGGUUCAGGCUUACCAACAAGCAACUCUCACCACUUUGGUUGCUGAGAUUCGGAUGAUGCAAACUUCAAAGUCGUAGACCUUCUCGCCAACAAGAGGAGUUUUUUUUUUUCUGCUGUUCUAUUUGGUUGAUCUCAAUAUUCAUGAACAUAGUGUUAUUUAAAGAAACCAAAGACCAUCAAAGCUCCUAGUGAUGCUAGGGUUUCUCAUUCCUAGUUUAGGAAAGUAUCUUGCUUCCCAAGAUCUUACCAAUAUUGGAUAUUAUUAAACUUAAUAAUAUCACCCAAAAAAAAAAAAAAAAAAAAAGCUCCUAGUGAUGCUAGGGUUUCUCAUUCCUAGUUUAGGAAAGUAUCUUGCUUCCCAAGAUCUUACCAAUAUUGGAUAUUAUUACCCAAAAAAAAAAAAAAAAAAAAAGGCCCACGUGAAAACAAAGGGGAACACUUCAAGCUGCACCUCCUACACGUGAAAAGGCCCAUGUCUACAAUGCAUCAUGAAGUGGGGGCAAUUUGUAGACAAAGAAAUUUUGGUGUAAUAAAUUCCAUUGACAAGAAAAUAAUUAGGGUUCGGUGAAUUAAAUCGUGGGCCCCGUAAUUCGCCCAUGUGGCGUGUGACUCAUCAAAAUCGGAUUAGUUGUCAAAAAUGACAAAUGGCGACAUCCGACGGAGUGCAUCAAACGGAUCAAGAUGAAGACAAAAUUAAAGGAAAGAAUCUUCUGUGAUUGACUUUGAUUUAAAUCAAAUAUUAAUCAGGUUAAUCAAUUAAAGAUAAUCUGGUUAAAUUGCCAGAUUAUGGGAAUUGAUUUAAAUCAAAUCAAAAUCCCACAAAUCAAGGUUUUAAAUAGGGAAAGUUAUUUAGGUCAAGCAUCCGACAAAAGCCUAUAAAUAGGAGGCCUCAAGACGAAAGAAGGGGUUCAGAAAACCCUAGCAUUCAGAAGAAACAGAAAACUCUCUGCAUUCUUCACUCUACUUUGGAAGAGUCACCAAGCACAACAAAUACGUGCCGGUUCCUCCACCUUAGAAAAAUCCAAACACCAAACAAGCCUUGUGCUACCCGUUUGAUCAAGAUCAAGUCUCUACGACCCUUGCAUCAAAUACAAAUUUUCUUUAUACACUUUGGAGAUCGAAUCAGAGGAUUCAAUACAGAGAUUGUAACCCUAAAUUUCAUUAAUACAAAUAUUAUUUUGUACACGUGUUCUUGUCUCAUUUGUCGCAGAAAAUUCGUGUUUAC
rnacentral:lncRNA from 1 species